UGAUUAAACAGCUGAUUCUCCCAUACGAAUUAAUUGCGUUGUAAUUCAGAAUUUUUGAAAAAAUCUGUUCUAGCUUCAAACAGAAUUAGUUAAACAAAGAAACAUCGAAGAAUAAGGAUGGGUGGGGUUCUAAGCCUUACCAGUCUGGCUUGCUGCUUUACUU